rnacentral:rRNA from 1 species
UAGAGGAUAGGCGGGAGGCUUCGAAGCCCGGGCGCCAGCCCGGGUGGAGCCGACCUUGGAAUACCGCCCUCGGCGCGCCGGCGUCCUAACCCCAUGCCGUCAUCCGGAUGGGGGACCGUGCCAGGUGGGUAGUUUGACUGGGGCGGUCGCCUCCUAAAGGGUAACGGAGGCGCGCGAAGGUCCGCUCGGGACGGUCGGCAACCGUCCUCUUGAGUGCAAGAGCAUAAGCGGGCUUGACUGCGAGGCCUACAAGCCGAGCAGGUGCGAAAGCAGGCUCUAGUGAUCCGGCGGCCCCGCGUGGGUGGGCCGUCGCUCAACGGAUAAAAGGUACUCCGGGGAUAACAGGCUGAUCUUGCCCAAGAGUCCACAUCGACGGCAAGGUUUGGCACCUCGAUGUCGGCUCAUCGCAUCCUGGGGCUGAAGUCGGUCCCAAGGGUUGGGCUGUUCGCCCAUUAAAGCGGUACGCGAGCUGGGUUCAGAACGUCGUGAGACAGUUCGGUCCCUAUCCUCCGCGGGCGCAGGAGAAUCGAGGGAGGCUGCCCCUAGUACGAGAGGACCGGGGUGGACGCACCUCUGGUGAACCGGUUGUCGACCAACGGCACGGCCGGGUAGCCACGUGCGGCGCGGAUAACCGCUGAAGGCAUCUAAGCGGGAAGCCGUUCCCGAGAUCAGUUCUCCUUUCGGUAAGGGCCCAGGUAGACUACCUGGUCGAUAGGCCGCAGGUGCAAGCACGGCGACGUGCUCAGCCGAGCGGUACUAAUAGCCCGAGCUCUUACCCG